rnacentral:rRNA from 1 species
AUGAAGACGGUUUAUUAUCUCUAUAAGCUAGACAUUAAUCUAUAUUUUGGGGGAAACACGUUAUGUGCUCUUUAUCAUUUUACAAGUGUAAAAAUUACAUUCAAAGUGAAUGCAGCCCCAAAUGAAAAUGAGAGGCACUUGGCACACCAGAAGAGUGGUGUAUGUUUCACCAGAAGCAUGAUCUGCACAGUUUGCACGCCAUGGCACAAACAAGUUAGACACAUAAAUCCAAGAUGUAACCCGCAAGCAAACAAUGAAUUCGUUAUCCAGUACAUAUGUCAAGAGACACUAUCUGCUAGGAAUUUCCUGUGGAAAAUGCGAAGACCGUCACUUUUACUUCAUUACAAAGCUAAUAUUUGUUCCAAGGAUAACAAUAACUGA